GACGAACGCUGGCGGCGUGCUUAACACAUGCAAGUCGAGCGAGAAAGGGCCUUCGGGCCUGAGUACAGCGGCGAACGGGUGAGUAACACGUGGGCAACCUGCCCUAGAGACUGGGAUAACGUCCCGAAAGGGACGCUAAUACCGGAUAAUGCGUGAUCCGCUAAGUGGGUCACGCCAAAUGGUAGCUUCGGCUUCUGCUCUGGGAUGGGCCCGCGCCGGAUUAGCUUGUUGGUGAGGUAACGGCUCACCAAGGCAACGAUCCGUAGCUGGUCUGAGAGGACGAUCAGCCACACUGGGACUGAGACACGGCCCAGACUCCUACGGGAGGCAG
rnacentral:rRNA from 1 species